CCUCAGUAACGGCGAGUGAAGCGGCAAAAGCUCAAAUUUGAAAUCUAGCACUUUCAGUGUUCGAGUUGUAAUUUGAAGAAGGUAACUUUGGUUUUGGCUCUUGUCUAUGUUCCUUGGAACAGGACGUCACAGAGGGUGAGAAUCCCGUGCGAUGAGAUGCCCAAUUCCAUGUAAAGUGCUUUCGAAGAGUCGAGUUGUUUGGGAAUGCAGCUCUAAGUGGGUGGUAAAUUCCAUCUAAAGCUAAAUAUUGGCGAGAGACCGAUAGCGAACAAGUACAGUGAUGGAAAGAUGAAAAGAACUUUGAAAAGAGAGUGAAAAAGUACGUGAAAUUGUUGAAAGGGAAGGGCUUGAGAUCAGACUUGGUAUUUUGCGUUCCCUUCCUUUUUGGUUGGGUUCCUCGCAGUUUACUGGGCCAGCAUCGGUUUGGAUGGUAGGAUAAUGACAUUGGAAUGUAGCUUUACUUCGGUGAAGUGUUAUAGACUUUGUUGAUACUGCCUAUCUAGACCGAGGACUGCGUCUUUGACUAGGAUGCUGGCGUAAUGAUCUUAAGCCGCCCGUCUUGAA
rnacentral:rRNA from 1 species